rnacentral:rRNA from 1 species
AGGCGGCGGCCUGGUUAAGCGACGCCGCGUGAGGGAUGACGGCCUUCGGGUUGUUAACCUCUUUCAGUAGGGAACAAGGCCAGACGUUGUCUGGGUGAGGGUACUUGCAGAAAAAACGCCGGCUAACUACGUGCCACCACCCCCGGUAAUUUGGA